AUGGCCGUACCAUGCUGAAUAUACCGGUUCUCGUUAGAUCACCGAAGUCAAGCAUCAUUGGGCGCGGUCAGUACUUGGGUGUGUAACCACCUGGGAACACCGCGUGCCGU
rnacentral:rRNA from 1 species